UGAGGAAUAUUGGUCAAUGGGCGAGAGCCUGAACCAGCCAAAUCGCGUGAAGGAAGACUGCCUUAUGGGUUGUAAACUUCUUUUAUACAGGAAUAAAAAAGGGGACGUGUCCCUUAUUGCAUGUACUGUAUGAAUAAGCAUCGGCUAACUCCGUGCCAGCAGCCGCGGUAAUACGGAGGAUGCGAGCGUUAUCCGGAUUUAUUGGGUUUAAAGGGUGCGCAGGCGGGCUUUUAAGUCAGCGGUGAAAUCUCGGGGCUUAACUCCGAAACUGCCGUUGAAACUGGGAGUCUUGAGUAUGGAUGAAGUAGGCGGAAUUCGUUGUGUAGCGGUGACAUGCUUAGAUAUAACGAGGAACUCCGAUUGCGUAGGCAGCUUACUAAGCCAUAACUGACGCUCAAGCACGAAAGCGUGGGGAUCAAACAGGAUUAGAUACCCUGGUAGUCCACGCCGUAAACGAUGAUUACUAGUUGUAUGCGAUAUACCGUAUGUGACUAAGCGAAAAGCGAUAAAGUAAUCCACCUGGGGGAGUACGCCGGCAACGGUAAACUUAAAGGAAUUGACGGGGUCAUAGCUGUUUCCU
rnacentral:rRNA from 1 species